rnacentral:rRNA from 1 species
UACGUAGGGUGCACGCGUUGUCCGGAAUUAUUGGGCGUAAAGAGCUCGUAGGCGGUCUGUCACGUCGGCUGUGAAAACCCGAGGCUCAACCUCGGGCCUGCAGUCGAUACGGGCAAACUAGAGUACUGCAGGGGAGACUGGAAUUCCUGGUGUAGCGGUGAAAUGCGCAGAUAUCAGGAGGAACACCGGUGGCGAAGGCGGGUCUCUGGGCAGUAACUGACGCUGAGGAGCGAAAGCAUGGGGAGCGAACGGG